UACGGAAGGUGCAAGCGUUGUUCGGAAUGACUGGGCGUAAAGCGCACGUAGGCGGUUUUGUAAGUCGGGUGUGAAAGCCCUGGGCUCAACCUAGGAACAGCACUCGAAACUGCGAAUCUUGAAUGCUUGAGAGGUUGGUGGAAUUCCUGGUGUAGGAGUGAAAUCCGUAGAUAUCAGGAGGAACAUCGGUGGCGAAGGCGACCAACUGGUGAUGCAUUGACGCUGAGGUGCGAAAGCGUGGGGAGCAAACAGG
rnacentral:rRNA from 1 species